ACAUACAGGCUCCUUUCAGUUUCUUGUGUUGUCUGCUCCUUCACAUGGAAGUCAUUCUGGGAUCAUGCACUUAACAUGUUCAACUUUCUGUGGCUCUUGUUGAAUUGAAGGGAAUGAACUCUAUCUGGAGAAAUAUUCAAUGAAUAUGCUCUCUUAAAAUUAUGGAGAUAGUUGGAAUUCUAAGGAUCUGAAGCCUAGAAUCAUUCUAUAGAUGACAUUGAGAUUGAUAAUGAAACUGAGAUUGAACUCGAGAACGAAAUUGAAAUUGAGAAUGUAAUUGAGAAAAGAAGUUGAAAUUGGGAAUGAAAUUGAUAAUGAAACUGAGAAUGAAAAUUGAAGCUGAGAAUGACAUUGAGAUUGAGUCUGAAAAGUGCAGAAAAGCAGUAUUGUUGAGGGGGGGGGGGGA